CCUACGGGCGGCUGCAGUGGGGAAUAUUGCACAAUGGGCGCAAGCCUGAUGCGGCCAUGCCGCGUGUGUGAAGAAGGCCUUCGGGUUGUAAAGCACUUUCAGCGGGGAGGAAGGCGUUAAGGUUAAUAACCUUGGCGAUUGACGUUACCCGCAGAAGAAGCACCGGCUAACUCCGUGCCAGCAGCCGCGGUAAUACGGAGGGUGCAAGCGUUAAUCGGAAUUACUGGGCGUAAAGCGCACGCAGGCGGUCUGUCAAGUCGGAUGUGAAAUCCCCGGGCUCAACCUGGGAACUGCAUUCGAAACUGGCAGGCUAGAGUCUUGUAGAGGGGGGUAGAAUUCCAGGUGUAGCGGUGAAAUGCGUAGAGAUCUGGAGGAAUACCGGUGGCGAAGGCGGCCCCCUGGACAAAGACUGACGCUCAGGUGCGAAAGCGUGGGGAGCAAACAGGAUUAGAUACCCGGGUAGUC
rnacentral:rRNA from 1 species